GCUAAGACAUCCAAGGUCAAAGGGCCUACAUCUGGUGAAGGUCUUGCUGCUUUAUCCCAUGGUGGAAGGCAGAUGGGUUCACAGAAAAUAGAAAUUCUUUACACAGUCUUCUGAUCAAUAGAAUCAAAGCCCUUUUUCUGUAAAUACUGGCUAGAGAGUUGCUAACUUCCAUAAUGGAGAAAUGGAAAAAGCAGUUUCUUUCUCCAAUAAAACCACAAAAGCCAUGGUUUUAAAAGAAACUAUAGAGGAUUUCUUGUGUGGAGUCCUUAGCUUUGUGACUGCUGAGAUUUAAGACAUAGGAAAUCAUGACUUCCUCGUGGCAGCCUCAUGAUUCUGAGAUCACAGCACGUGCAUUUGGUACAGCCAGCAGAGGUGGUGGUGUCUUCUCGAAUUCCUGACCUUCUUUCCAUGGCAGAAGAAGCAACCCUUUUGCUAACUGAGGUCUAUGGUGGUGUUCCUGGAAUCUCCAUCUCUAACCUAUUUACCUAAUCCUUCCAAAAAUCUUAUAUUGAAUCUUUUCAUGUUUAAAUUAUUUAGAAUGGUUUGUGGUAUCUGUAAACACUGACCAAUGCUUCCCACAAUAAAAUCAGCAGUAUGGAAAGAAAGAAAGCAGAUGGUUAAAUAGUUUCUAACAUAAUUGCUAAAAAUACAGUUUGUAUGUGGGCUUGGUUAAGGAUCUGUUAAGCUGCAGCUAGAUGCUUUGGCACUUAUGUCUUGUCCACAUAGUAACAAUAUACUCAUUGAUUACUACAUCUUAGAUUUAUAGCUACUUAAUAAUAUAACUUAUUGGAGCAACACAUCUGGGCAAGAGAAAUUUCUUCUUAGUCCUCUUUUGUUUUACAUUCCAAGCUAUACAUACGGUCAUACUUCAUUUUAUUAUGUAUUGCAGAUAUUGCAUUGUUUACAAAUUGAAGAUGUGUGGUGACCCCGCGACAAGCAAGUCUACCAAAGCCACUUUUCAGCAGCAUCUUCUCACUUCCUGUCUCUGUUUCAAUUAUGAGAACAGAUGUAGAGAUUAGAAUCGGCAAAGGGAAAAGGCCCAUGGGAUGAAGGCCAGAAGAAAUCAAGCUACAAGUUUUUCUCUCCAGUGGAGUCCCAUGAGGAUGCACACAACUCUCCCAGCAGCAAUGUGGGACAACACAUGCAAAGUAUUGGCCAUCAGGGAAGCUCCCCCCAGCUUUGGUCACCAGGGUUUUUUAUUGGUUGUCAGUCAUGCACACAUUCAGUGCUUCUGUGACUGACCUCACCCACCAGACUGUAACCUCAAGAGCAAAAUCAGAUUUUUUUAGUGUGCAAAAUGUCUUUCUCAAUAUUGAAAAUCCAUAUGAGUACAUGGACAAUUUCACAUACCAUGUGGACUUGCGAAAUAUUACCUAAUUUAGAGGGUUUGAAAGCUCAGAAGUUGUGUCCGGAGUUGUUUCCUUCCGGUGGGUUCAUAGUCUCACUGACUUCAAGAAUGGAGCCACGGACCUUCACGAUAAGUCAUUCCACUUCUUCUGAGGGAGUGAAGAAAGAGGCCAAGUUCAGAAUUGUACCAAUUGACUACCUUGACCUGGACAUAAGCACCAGAAUGGUUGCACUCAACAACAAAGACUGUACUGGGAAUAGAAAGAUGAACAAGACAGUGCACUUCCCUUCAAAGAGCUUACAGAAUCACAACCAGCAGAGAGAUUUUAAAGGCCUCUUGCUGCAUGAGAUGGAACAGUAAGACCAGAGGGAUCCUGUUUCUUCAUUUAUUUCAGUACCAGCAACCCCAUUGAGUUCAUCACAUCCUCAUGGAAGAUAAAAAGCAGAUGGAAUAGCAAUAACAACAACUAAAGGACAGAAAAACCUAGCAACCACAAGGCAAGAGCAAGAUAAAAAUAAGAAUAAUAAAAGAUAAAUGCACGAAUUCCUAAACACCUUCCUCCUCUUCUCUCAGGAGUUCCAAUGCCUGAAUAGGAAAAUAACAGACAUCCCAGAAGAAUACUGAACAAUGCAUACAAAUAAGUACAUCGCUGAAGAAGCAAACUGCCCAAUAAAGUCUUCAAUCUCUGUGGUGG